AGUGAACGCUGGCGGUAGGCCUAACACAUGCAAGUCGAACGGCAGCACAGUAAGAGCUUGCUCUUACGGGUGGCGAGUGGCGGACGGGUGAGGAAUACAUCGGAAUCUACUUUUUCGGGGGGGAUAACGUAGGGAAACUUACGCUAAUACAGCAUACGACCUACGGGUGAAAGCAGGGGAUCUUCGGACCUUGCGCGAUUGAAUGAGCCGAUGUCGGAUGAGCUAGUUGGCGGGGUAAAGGCCCACCAAGGCGACGAUCCGUAGCUGGUCUGAGAGGAUGAUCAGCCACACUGGAACUGAGACACGGUCCAGACUCCUACGGGAGGCAGCAGUGGGGAAUAUUGGACAAUGGGCGAAAGCCUGAUCCAGCCAUACCGCGUGGGUGAAGAAGGCCUUCGGGUUGUAAAGCCCUUUUGUUGGGAAAGAAAAGCAGCAGGUUAAUACCCCGCUGUUCUGACGGUACCCAAAGAAUAAGCACCGGCUAACUUCGUG
rnacentral:rRNA from 1 species